AGUCUCCAGUAACACCAGAAAAAGUCGCUAGAUUUGUCGCUAGUCGCUUUUUUGAAAAAAAAAAAAAAAAAAAGUGGCUAGAGGGGUCUGAAAACUCGCUAAAUAUAGGUUGAAACACUUUGUAUAACAGAUAUUUUGGGCUUUGUUAAUACAAUGGCGACCGCUACUUUGAGUGCAGAGUUCACAAGGAGACAAAUUGUUUGAACAUUCAGGUUACACUCGCGACUUUGAACUCAGAACGAGGAAAAUUUGGAGGAGCAGCUGAAGGCUGCAUCGAGUUAAAGCGAAAGUAAAAUCUUCGGUUUAUGUGGAGAGAGAAUCACGUGUUACUCCAGUGUGAUGGAGGGUACGAGACCAGAUUCACCUGAACCCAGCUGUGUCUCCAUGAACAGUGACCAGUCAAUGGAUCCUUCAUUUAACUAUAUAAAAGAUGGAGGAUGUUCUACUGAUCUGAGUUGCCUGCUCAGCCUGCGGCGCAAUCGAGGUUCUCCCGAUUGCUUUUUGUUCUGGUUUUUGUCUUUUGCUUUGUUUUUUGUUUCAAAAUAAUAAAUAAAGUUUAUUUUUAAGAAUCUG